rnacentral:rRNA from 1 species
CACGGGGGGAGCAAGCGUUGUUCGGAUUCAUUGGGCGUAAAGGGCUCGUAGGUGGCUUUGUAAGUCGGAGGUGAAAUCCCACGGCUCAACCGUGGACACGCCUUCGAAACUGUGAAGCUUGAGGCUGGGAGAGGAGAUCGGAAUUCCUGGUGUAGCGGUGAAAUGCGUAGAUAUCAGGAGGAACACCGGCGGUGUAGACGGCUUUCUGGACCGUAGCUGACGCUGAGACACGAAAGCGUGGGUAGCAAACAGG